rnacentral:rRNA from 1 species
GCGAUGGCCGUCGUCAGUUCGUACUGUGAAGCAUCCUGUUAAGUCAGGCAACGAGCGAGACCCACGCCCACAGUUGCCAGCGUACUCUCUGGAGUGACGGGUACACUGUGGGGACCGCCGCUGCUAAAGCGGAGGAAGGAAUGGGCAACGGUAGGUCAGUAUGCCCCGAAUAUCCCGGGCUACACGCGAGCUACAAUGGUUGGUACAAUGGGUAUCUACCCCGAAAGGGGACGGGAAUCUCCUAAAACCAAUCUUAGUUCGGAUUGAGGGCUGCAACUCGCCCUCAUGAAGCUGGAAUCCGUAGUAAUCGCGUUUCAACAGAACGCGGUGAAUACGUCCCUGCUCCUU